rnacentral:rRNA from 1 species
UACGUAGGGUGCGAGCGUUGUCCGGAAUUACUGGGCGUAAAGAGCUCGUAGGUGGUUUGUCGCGUUGUUCGUGAAAACUCACAGCUUAACUGUGGGCGUGCGGGCGAUACGGGCAGACUAGAGUACUGCAGGGGAGACUGGAAUUCCUGGUGUAGCGGUGAAAUGCGCAGAUAUCAGGAGGAACACCGGUGGCGAAGGCGGGUCUCUGGGCCGAUACUGACGCUGAGGAGCGAAAGCGUGGGGAGCAAACAGG